UACAGAGGGGGCAAGCGUUGUUCGGAAUUACUGGGCGUAAAGGGCGCGUAGGCGGCCGCCUAAGUCAGACGUGAAAUCCCUGGGCUCAACCCAGGAACUGCAUUUGAAACUCCCUUUCUUGAGUGUCGGAGAGGAAAGCGGAAUUCCUGGUGUAGAGGUGAAAUUCGUAGAUAUCAGGAGGAACACCGGUGGCGAAGGCGGCUUUCUGGACGACAACUGACGCUGAGACGCGAAAGCGUGGGGAGCGAACAGG
rnacentral:rRNA from 1 species